CUGAGUUAGGGUCCUCUGGGCCCGAUCUCCAACCCUUUGUUUAACCACUUUGUUGCUUUGGCAGGUCCGCCUUUCGGGGCCGCUGGAGGGGUUUAGUCACCUCUGGUCCGUGCUUGCCAGUAGCCAAAUCAAAUUCUUCUUAAUAAUGAAGUCUGAAUUCUUAAUUAAAAUUUAAUUA
rnacentral:misc_RNA from 1 species